AUUUCGUUGUUAUGAUACCUACAUACAAUAUACAUGAGUAAAACCUCCAGACCCUCCCCAACCUUUUGAAAAGAAGCAUCAGAAGAAAUUGUUCAAUCAGAGAAAAUAUUUACAGAGAAAACAUUGAACCUAAAGUUUCUGCAAUCAAACGAAGUAGAAAAACCUAUGUUUGGGACAUGGCUGAAGAAGAAUUCAGUUCGGAUAAAACAAGGCCAAACUUCAUAUUCAUGAGGAGAACUAUUUUUCGCUUCGGAGUAAUGUUCAUUCUGUAGUCGAAGCUAUGGAACUUGAAUAAUCUGCUAUAUUUCAGAGUAAAUCCUUUCAUCACAGUCAUCUAUAAGUGCUUCUAAGGCUCCUCUUUCUGGUAAAGGAAUAAAUGUUUGAGAGGAAGUUGAAAGACCUAUCAACACAGAUAUACAGUCCUGCAUUGAGAUCAUUUACUUUGACAUUCUAAUCCCCAAGAGCUAAUUAUUUUGCACGCAUUCCAUUCAACAAAAAUGUUUGAAAUAUAAAAUGAUUGUGAGUGUUUU